rnacentral:rRNA from 1 species
GACGAACGCUGGCGGCGUGCUUAACACAUGCAAGUCGAGCGAGGCCCCUCCUUCGGGAGGGUGUCCUAGCGGCGAACGGGUGAGUAACACGUGGGCAACCUGCCCUCAGCUCUGGGAUAACUCCGGGAAACCGGGGCUAAUACCGGAUACGACCUCCACGGGCAUCUGCGGAGGUGGAAAGUUUUUCGGCUGAGGAUGGGCCCGCGGCCUAUCAGCCAGUUGGUGGGGUAGUGGCCCACCAAGGCGACGACGGGUAGCCGGCCUGAGAGGGCGACCGGCCACACUGGGACUGAGACACGGCCCAGACUCCUACGGGAGGCAGCAGUGGGGAAUAUUGCGCAAUGGGCGAAAGCCUGACGCAGCGACGCCGCGUGAGGGACGAAGGCCUUCGGGUUGUAAACCUCUUUCAGCAGGGACGAAGCGAAAGUGACGGUACCUGCAGAAGAAGCACCGGCCAACUACGUG